rnacentral:misc_RNA from 1 species
UACGGAGGGUGCAAGCGUUAAUCGGAAUUACUGGGCGUAAAGCGCGCGUAGGCGGUUAGUUAAGCCAGCUGUGAAAUCCCCGGGCUCAACCUGGGCACUGCAGUUGGAACUGGCAAGCUAGAGUAGGGUAGAGGGGUGUGGAAUUUCAGGUGUAGCGGUGAAAUGCGUAGAUAUCUGAAGGAACAUCAGUGGCGAAGGCGACACCCUGGACUCAUACUGACACUGAGGUGCGAAAGCGUGGGGAUCAAACAGG